CCCUUAGAUGUUCUGGGCCGCACGCGCGCUACACUGAUGCAUUCAACGAGCCUACCCUUGACCGACAGGUCCGGGUAAUCUUUGAAUCUGCAUCGUGACGGGGAUAGAUUAUUGCAAUUAUUAAUCUUCAACGAGGAAUGCCUAGUAGGCGCAAGUCAUCAGCUUGCGUCGAUUACGUCCCUGCCCUUUGUACACACCGCCCGUCGCUCCUACCGAUUGGGUGUGCUGGUGAAAUGUUCGGAUCGGCCGUUUGUCGCGGUUUCCGCGUCAUGUGGCUGAGAAGUUCAUUAAACCCUCCCACCUAGAGGAAGGAGAAGUCGUAACA
rnacentral:rRNA from 1 species